rnacentral:rRNA from 2 species
UGCAGUCGAGCGGACAGAUGGGAGCUUGCUCCCUGAUGUUAGCGGCGGACGGGUGAGUAACACGUGGGUAACCUGCCUGUAAGACUGGGAUAACUCCGGGAAACCGGGGCUAAUACCGGAUGGUUGUCUGAACCGCAUGGUUCAGACAUAAAAGGUGGCUUCGGCUACCACUUACAGAUGGACCCGCGGCGCAUUAGCUAGUUGGUGAGGUAACGGCUCACCAAGGCGACGAUGCGUAGCCGACCUGAGAGGGUGAUCGGCCACACUGGGACUGAGACACGGCCCAGACUCCUACGGGAGGCAGCAGUAGGGAAUCUUCCGCAAUGGACGAAAGUCUGACGGAGCAACGCCGCGUGAGUGAUGAAGGUUUUCGGAUCGUAAAGCUCUGUUGUUAGGGAAGAACAAGUGCCGUUCAAAUAGGGCGGCACCUUGACGGUACCUAACCAGAAAGCCACGGCUAACUACGUGCCAGCAGCCGCGGUAAUACGUAGGUGGCAAGCGUUGUCCGGAAUUAUUGGGCGUAAAGGGCUCGCAGGCGGUUUCUUAAGUCUGAUGUGAAAGCCCCCGGCUCAACCGGGGAGGGUCAUUGGAAACUGGGGAACUUGAGUGCAGAAGAGGAGAGUGGAAUUCCACGUGUAGCGGUGAAAUGCGUAGAGAUGUGGAGGAACACCAGUGGCGAAGGCGACUCUCUGGUCUGUAACUGACGCUGAGGAGCGAAAGCGUGGGGAGCGAACAGGAUUAGAUACCCUGGUAGUCCACGCCGUAAACGAUGAGUGCUAAGUGUUAGGGGGUUUCCGCCCCUUAGUGCUGCAGCUAACGCAUUAAGCACUCCGCCUGGGGAGUACGGUCGCAAGACUGAAACUCAAAGGAAUUGACGGGGGCCCGCACAAGCGGUGGAGCAUGUGGUUUAAUUCGAAGCAACGCGAAGAACCUUACCAGGUCUUGACAUCCUCUGACAAUCCUAGAGAUAGGACGUCCCCUUCGGGGGCAGAGUGACAGGUGGUGCAUGGUUGUCGUCAGCUCGUGUCGUGAGAUGUUGGGUUAAGUCCCGCAACGAGCGCAACCCUUGAUCUUAGUUGCCAGCAUUCAGUUGG